rnacentral:lncRNA from 1 species
GGGGAUGCUGCGGCCAAGGCCUCCGAGGAGACUCAUGUAAUGGAUUACCGGGCCUUGGUGCAUGAGCGAGAUGAGGCAGCCUAUGGGGAGCUCAGGGCCAUGGUGCUGGACCUGAGGGCCUUCUAUGCUGAGCUUUAUCAUAUCAUCAACAGCAACCUGGAGAAAAUUGUCAACCCAAAGGGUGAAAAGAAGCCAUCUAUGUACUGA